rnacentral:lncRNA from 1 species
GGGCACCAAGAACUAAGGUAUGGAGAAGAGGUUGCUCAGGGCAGUGAUGAUGGGCAAACAUGGAACUGGGCCCGACGUUGUCAUCUGGGCAGCCCUUGGCCAAACUGUCAGGGGGAGCAUUUGGUGCCAGGGACCCUGGGGACCCACAAACCCCAGCUAUUCACCACCAGCUUUCCAGAGAUGGGAGCAGGGGCCUGAGCCUCUCCUGUCCCCUUUCCCUGGUGAGGCAACACCCGCCUGGAGGAUCCCACAUUCCCUUCCUCUCUCCCAGGUGGCCGUUACCGUUGGGGGCAGUAAACAUGACAUUGUCCUCAGUGAAGCCCAGGUACUUUGCAAAGUUGACGAAGUACUGCUUCAGUUCACGGCUCAACUCCUUGGUUCUCGCUGUGGGACAAGAUUGCCACUCAUAGGUGACGCUGUACAUUUUAAAGUAUCUUUGGCUUCCAUUCCGAAUUGUGUUCUCUGCUACACCUAUGACGUACCACUUCCCCUGGAACUGGAAGACAGUGAUGACAGCACAGCCCAGGGACAUCCCCAGCACUACCCCUCAAUACUAUCCCUCCUGGGACCCUUUGGCAGCAGAGUCUGGAGAUUGGGCUGCCCUGAGAAGCUGGCAGGAGCUGGGUCCUCACAGGGCCAGGAGGGACCCUGGGUGCUCUCCCAGAGCCUUUACCUGGUCUUCCUGGAAGUCUCGCAGUAAGGGGACCUUGUGCAAAGAUGGUCCUGAAGUCUCAGAUGGAGAAGAGUCCUGGGCUUGAGUCUGCAGGGCCCCCAGCAGGAAGAGGCCCAGACACAGGAGAUUCAGGGCCAUGACUUCAGAGCAGCUGCUGAGCCUGGAAUGUGUGGAAAGAGGAAGACGACUACUGAAGUUGCCCACCAGGGAAACUAUUUAUAGGCCAUCUGAAACCCACCCCUUCUGUGGUGGCCUAUCCUGCAAGGCUGAGUAAACUGCCCAAGUCACCUUCAGAAUCGCGUGACAAGAUACCUUUCUCUUUUCCCCUAGGAAGGAUUGUGCAAGAUAGAGAGAGGGAUGUCAGGAUAAAGUAUAAGGGUGUAAGAACAUUCUUUAAGGUUGGUUAAAUUAAUCUAUUUUGUAGGAAGGAGAAAUUUCCUCAAAAGAAGGAUUUUUGUUUGAAAAAUUGAUGCUAUUUUUGUGCCUCAAUUUUUGUUUUAUAUUUAAUAAUACAUAUGAUUUGUGAAAAAAAGAAUGUUGUAUUUCAUUGUGAAGAUACUGAGUUCAAAAAUCAGUACUGGAAAAAAAGAAAGAAAGAAAAGUAACCCAGUGACCACCUUGAGUAGGGAUGCCUUGGGUCCUGGGUGCCCCCCAUGCAUAGCUCUGGACAGGCAGAGCAGCUCUCUUUGCAGAGCAGGGACUUGAUGGAUGGGGAGGUGGGCAGAGGUGGUGAGGGUAGGGGAGAGAUUUGUGUGGGGCCCAUUCUCUCUGUACUGAGGCCAGGCCUGUCUCUGACACACUGGCUUCAUCCUCAUCUCUGUGUUGGUCUUUGCCUUUGCUGACACCUGAUGACAUCCCAUUACCCUCUUUCAUGUGGCUGCCUCCUGCCUUUCACCUUGGCUCAGUCCUAGGGACAGGGAUUGAGAGAAGAGGAUGGGACCUGCUGACAGAUGUGUACUUCAGGGGUGCUGAGUCUCAAGAGUCCCCUCUCAUGGGUGGUAUGGUCUGCAGUGAUGUGAUGAGCAGGCAGGACAGAGGUCACACGGUAUCGUCCUGGGUGCUUCCUUUGAGCCAGCAGAUGCUCAGGUUGCCUCCAGGAUGGUGUGUCAUGGUCUCCAAAGGGAAAGGCUUGCUGUCACCUUCUUGUGGGUGCUGCAGAGGACAUGGUGGCCUUUUAUCCAGGCAGCUUUGUUCCUUGUGGUGGGCUCUCACAGAAGCCUUCAGGAUAAGGUGCCUGAGCUGCAGCCACUCCCCAUUGCCUGUAUCUACUGGGAAAGGUCCUCUCCUUCCAAAUAUUUCUCUCCUCCAAGUAACAUCAGGCUGGGUUCUAGAGAGAGCAGCCCAUGGGACUGAUAGUGGUGUCAGCCUACACUUUUCCCUUCCCCUCCUCAUGGGCCAGGGAAAAAGACAUGAAGACUUGGUUGGAUGUGUUUAUUUAGUAGGAAAGGCAGCUCCAUUGGGAAAGGGCUGGAACUGGUGGCUGUGGGUGUACAGCAGUGUUAUGGUUUGGGUUGAGAUGCCCCCUAAAGCCCCAUGUGGUCAUAGGGUUGGUCUAGAGUGUUUGAAGCUGGAAUUGAUUCAUGAUACAAUGCUAGGCUCAAGGGGGCUAGGAUUAAGAGUGUGAGUGCUACCCGCCCUACGUAGUAUGAAUAAGAUAAAAGGGGCACAAAGAUCCUGUUAAACUCUCUCUUGUUACCUUUGUUGCCUUGUGUAUGGCAUGUUGUUUGUCCUGAAACCUCUACAAACUGUAAGCCAAAUAAAACCAUUCCCCUCCAACUUUGGGUGUCUAGUAUUUUGUCUCAGCAGUGAGAGAAAAGUAACUAACAGAAGCAGUGCACUAUAAGAAGGGACUUCCAGCUCUCUCACUGUCAUUGUGGAAGCUGGAGCAGACAGUUGGCACCUUGGGCAGAGGUGACAGGAAGAACAGGG